GAGUUUGAUCCUGGCUCAGAACGAACGCUGGCGGCGUGCUUAACACAUGCAAGUCGAACGUGAUCCGGAGCUUGCUCCGGUGAAAGUGGCGCACGGGUGAGUAACGCGUGGAUAACCUGCCCUGGUGUCUGGGAUAACAUCUCGAAAGGGGUGCUAAUACCGGAUAAGCCCACGGGCUCUUCGGAGCCUGCGGGAAAAGGUGGCCUCUAUUUAUAAGCUACCGCAUCAAGAUGGGUCCGCGUACCAUUAGCUAGUUGGUGGGGUAAUGGCCUACCAAGGCGACGAUGGUUAGCUGGUCUGAGAGGAUGAUCAGCCACACUGGAACUGAGACACGGUCCAGACUCCUACGGGAGGCAGCAGUGGGGAAUUUUGCGCAAUGGGGGAAACCCUGACGCAGCAACGCCGCGUGAGUGAUGAAGGCUUUCGGGUCGUAAAGCUCUGUCAGAGGGGAAGAAAUGGGUCGUGCUAAUAUCGCGACUUCUUGACGGUACCCUCAAAGGAAGCACCGGCUAACUACGUGCCAGCAGCCGCGGUAAUACAAGGGCGAAWUGSK
rnacentral:rRNA from 1 species